CUUCUUCCUGCAGCACUGAGGUUGCAUGGACAGUGGCUGAGGGGUGAAGAUCCCAUCUCCAUCUGAUCAUUUCAAGCUUUCAUUUCUUUAUCUCUAUCCACUAAAAAGCAAAGAAAAAAUCCUACAUCACGCAAACCAAGAGAGUGGUUUCUGUGCAGCACCAUCACCAGCACCAUCAUCACCAUCCCAGCAUCAUCAUAAUCACCAACA